rnacentral:misc_RNA from 1 species
CUACUCUCUUCGAUCUCAUCCUGGUCCGUAUUCUGUUCAAUUUUAGUGCAUAUUAAUUUGAUAGAUCAUUUUUUAUAACAUUAUUUAGAUAUGGAAUUGUGCGUUAUGAUUUGGGAUUUUUUUUUCUUAGUUUUUGAAUUUUUGUGAUAUUUAUGGGUGAUAUGCCUAGGGUUUUACUCUAUUUUAUUUUGAUUAGAUAUGUCUUUAAAAAUCAUGAAAUUCUGCCUUAAAUGUUUUGGAAGCCCUUGUUGUUACUGGCUGCACUGUUUUCUUCCUAUCUGAUAGAAUUGAGGAAUUAAACUUGUUCUGGCAGUAUGGCUAGCCUGAAUAGUUGAAUAAGAAAGUUUACCCUCUUUUUGAUCUGUUUAUGCCUCAUAUAUAUAUGGUAGAAAAGGGGAGACAAGCUCUAAAAACACUACAGGGUACAAACUCUAGAAUACGACACUCCAGAGGACUCAUGAAGAAGCCAAGAAGUAAUUCCGGCAGGAGGAGCUUUGAACACAUGCAGACCCAUAGGUAAAGAGGACGCAUAUUGAGCUAGCUAGUCAGCACAGACAUUGGCUUCUAUGUAGAUAUGAUAAAUGCCAACCUUCCUAUCCACAUCAACUAAUUCUUUGGUGGAAUUAACAAGAGCAUGGAUGCAUUUCUUCUCCCUUCUUUCCCUCACUCAACCUUCAUUCCUCACUACUGGUCUAGGAGGGAAAUUUCAAAGCUUGUUGGUUCAAUACACAGUGCUUCACAAGUUUUUGAGUAUUUGAUCUAUGGAUUCAAGUUUAAAUUGAUGUAAUUACUUUAAGGAUUGCUGGGUAUAGAUUUUCUUUUUCUACAUGAAAAUGGUUAUUUGAUCUAUGGAUUUAAGUUUAAAUUGAUGUAACUACUUUAAGGAUUGCUGGGUAUAAAUGUUCUUUUUCAAUAUGAGAAUCAUUGUGUAUUUGAUUGCAAAUCAAUUUAGUGUUAUACUCUUUCAUUGAAGAUCGAAGUGGACAGGGAGAUUGCUGAGGAGUUCAAAACUGAAUUACCAAACCGAAAUUGAACUGAAUUUGUGUGGUUCAGUUCAGUUUGGUUCUCUUGCUUAUUCGGUUCGGUUUGGUUUGUAGAAAUUAAGAUUUUAAUUUGGGUUUGGCGGUUCGGUUUGGUUUGAACCGAAUGCUCAUCCCUAUCUCCAAAUGGUACAAUGCUUAAUGAUUCUGUGAGCAACCUGCUUUUAUUGAUGUAGGUGUCUGUUUGAAUUUGUCUCAAAUUGUGUCAAUGUUGUGUUGUGGCAGUGAUUUUAACCUUUUAUUAUGCCACUGGAAGGAGGGAUCUUGUUUUGACUUGAAGUUGUCUGGUUUCAGGCUGCCAACUAUCUAAACAUCAA